CUGGUCUGGGAGGAUCCUGUGCACCGCAACUAUUGAGCCUGUCUGUGCCCUAGAGCCUGGGAGCUGCAGUCACUGAAGCUGGUGCGCCUUAGAGCCUGUGCUCUGCAGCAAGAGAAGCCACUGCAAUGAGAAGCCCAAACACUGCAGCUAGAGAGCAGCCCCUGCUCACUGCAGCGAGAGAAAAGCCUGAACAGCAACGCAGAUGCAGCACAGCCGGAAAUGAAGAUAAAGUUCAGAUUUCCUGGAUCAAAUGUUCCCAAGGCCCGUGAGGUCAUGUGGUUUCAGAGACAUAAGCUAAGCUCGGUGUGUAUUACAGAGAAGCCAUCGCAUCCGGGCGUGACCAUUUUGAAGUUUACAGGAUCCCUGGGAUCUGACCUGCAUGGACAGCUACAAGAACAAAGGAUUCCAACAUGGAGAAGUUUGCAACAAUUCACCACGACCCUCCCUCACCUGGCCUUUAAAAGUGCUUUACUGAAACCCUUUGAGGAAUUUGGAGUUUUUGCGUGGCACAAGUUUCCUCUAUUGCUCCUUGGAAGGAAAGCUAUGACAAACCUAGAGAGUAUAUUUAAAAAG
ensembl:lncRNA